UACGUAGGGCGCGAGCGUUGUCCGGAAUUAUUGGGCGUAAAGAGCUCGUAGGUGGCUUGUUGCGUCUGCCGUGAAAGCCCGUGGCUUAACUACGGGUCUGCGGUGGAUACGGGCAGGCUAGAGGCUGGUAGGGGCAAGCGGAAUUCCUGGUGUAGCGGUGAAAUGCGCAGAUAUCAGGAGGAACACCGGUGGCGAAGGCGGCUUGCUGGGCCAGUUCUGACGCUGAGGCGCGAAAGCUAGGGGGAGCGAACAGG
rnacentral:rRNA from 1 species